rnacentral:lncRNA from 1 species
AAAACUACAUUUUGAAAUCAAAUCAAGUGUGUUCUAUUUUCCAUCGAAAUAAAUCUGGAGCACUUUCUGCCUCUUUGGAUGCUCUCUUAAAACUACCUUUUAGCUAUGCCAUAGCACACAAAUUCAAAAUGCCUUCAAAUGUUGAAUCAUUAAAUCCAUGUGGAUGUGCAAUGCCAAUGCCCAUGUUCUUAUUCUUGGCAUAACCUAAAAAAUGAGAGCUUAUAAUAAAGCACAUACAAUUUUAAACUUAGAUGGCAGCUGAGUGUCUUUGGAAAACAUAUAAGUAAUAACUGGAAGCAGAUCACAUCAAUAUAGAAAUUACGAUGUUAAAAUUCUCCAGAGAAUCCCCUUGACACCAAGGCUGGCACCUGUCCUGUUGAGGCUCUUGGAACACAUCAGU